rnacentral:rRNA from 1 species
AUACGUAGGGUGCAAGCGUUGUCCGGAAUUAUUGGGCGUAAAGAGCUCGUAGGCGGUGUGUCACGUCUGCCGUGAAAACCUGCGGCUUAACCGUGGGCGUGCGGUGGAUACGGGCAUCACUUGAGUUCGGUAGGGGAGACUGGAAUUCCUGGUGUAGCGGUGGAAUGCGCAGAUAUCAGGAGGAACACCGGUGGCGAAGGCGGGUCUCUGGGCCGAUACUGACGCUGAGGAGCGAAAGCGUGGGGAGCGAACAGGAUUAGAUACCCUGGUAGUCCACGCCGUAAACGCUGGGCGCUAGGUGUGGGGUGCUGUUCACGUGUCCCGUGCCGUAGCUAACGCAUUAAGCGCCCCGCCUGGGGAGUACGGCCGCAAGGCUAAA